UGGGGUCUGUUGUGAGGUCUGUUGUGAGGUCUGUUGUGAGGUCUGUUUUGGGGUCUGUUGUGAGGUCUGUUGUGAGGUCUGUUGUAAGGUCUGUUGUGAGGUCUGUUAUGGGGUCUGUUGUGAGGUCUGUUGUGAGGUCUGUUGUGAGGCCUGUUGUGAGGUCUGUUGUGAGGUCUGUUGUGAGGUCUGUUGUGAGGUCUGUUGUGAGGUCUGUU